UUGACCGUUAAAUGAAUUUUGAUGGUAAAACCUAAGAGCCGUUUUUUGGCCCAAAUCCAGCUCCUUCCCAAAGGAAGCUAGGCGUGUCCCAUCCACGCCUCAAAACCCACUACAACAAAAGCCAUGAAAUUGAAUCCACAGCCCAAAUCCUCUUUGCAUUCGGGUUGUUUGACCUUUCGGAAUCGGGUCUCUCAUCACCUUUGAGGAAGAUUAUAUGCGUUUGUUUUCAACGCACAAGAGUAUAAUUGUCUUUAGAGCUGGAAUUCUUAUUUAUUUUCAUAUUGAAUGUUAAUGGCGUUUUUCAUUUCUGCUCAAGUCCUGUGCCGCUCUCGUCUCUUCGGGGCUCUCCACAGUGAGGUCCUGAAGUUUGGGUUUGAACCGGAUUCGGGUUUCUCCUGUUGAUGUGUUUGUGAAAGUUAGAUGUUUGAUGAAAGUCCUGAAAGAAUUAAAAAGGUAGCAUACUGUUGCGGAAUGUUUUUAGAUUAACGGAUGUUGUAAAGCGGGAGACUUGACUGGGUUUGUAGGAAUUAGGAAUCUAUAAGGGCAGUGCACCAGAAUUUUCUGAUCUAAUGGGUGCCAAAAAUGUGGUUUCUUGGACCACAAUGUUUGAGUGGUUUUUGAAGAAGGGAAAUGAUGAGAUGGCAUUGUCAAUAUUCUUUACGAGGAGGAAGAUGUGCAUCCCUUUGAUCUUAGCUUUGUAUCUUUCAAUUAUUUCCAGUUCUAUAGAGGAGCUAGAAUAUCUCUGGUGGAUAUGUAAGAAAAAUUUGGGAAUAUGGGGCAGGAGAAUCCAAUGCUAUACUGAGCAAGCUCUUCUAUGUUUCGAGGAUACGAAGUCCGCAGGCAAGUAAUUUUGAAGCUUUACGACUCCAUUGAACCCACUGUGAAGGCAGAGACAGUUGACUAGCUGAAGGUCCAAGGUUUAUCCAAAGCGAAGCAUGUCAAUGAAUCCAGAUUCUUUGUUGUUAGGAGCACUCUUUUGUUAUUUUGGGGGUUCACAAUAAUACUGAAAUGGAACAAUUAGCUGUAUUAAAAAUCUAGUAGCUUGAGCUUAGGUACUUGAGGAGCCAUAUUUUCCGGUCAAAUAUUAAUGAGAAUGGAAGAUUUUGAGA